rnacentral:rRNA from 1 species
AUGGAUCGGAGGAGGAUCAGGGUGCUCCUGGUGGAGGACGAGGAGAUCCACAGGGUUCUGGCAAGAGCGGUGCUGAGGGCGGCCGGCGUGGAGGCGGAUGAGGCGGAGAACGGCGCCGAGGCGGUGCGGCGCGUGCGGGAGCGCGUCGGGGGCGGCGGCGCGUACGAUCUCAUCCUCACGGACAAGCAGAUGCCGGUCAUGGACGGCCACGAGGCGACGAGGCAGAUCCGGGCGAUGGGGGUGACCACGCCCAUCGUCGCCGUGUCCAGCGACAGCCUCCCGUCGGACGUCCAGGCCUUCACCGCCGCCGGCGCCGACGACUUCACGCCCAAGCCCCUGACGAAGGAGAAGGUGGGCCACAUUCUCUCCAAGUUCGGGCUUGCGUAG